GUGAGGAAUAUUGCGCAAUGGAGGCAACUCUGACGCAGCCAUGCCGCGUGCAGGAAGAAGGCGCUACGCGUUGUAAACUGCUUUUAACCGGGAAGAAACCCCAGGACGUGUCCUGGGUUGACGGUACCGGAGGAAUAAGCACCGGCUAACUUCGUGCAAGCAGCCGCGGUAAUACGAAGGGUGCAAGCGUUAUCCGGAUUCAUUGGGUUUAAAGGGUGCGUAGGCGGAGCGUUAAGUCAGUGGUGAAAUCCUGCAGCUUAACUGUAGACUUGCCAUUGAUACUGGCGCUCUUGAGUGCGCUUGAAGUGGGCGGAAUGUGCCGUGUAGCGGUGAAAUGCUUAGAUAUGGCACAGAACACCAAUUGCGAAGGCAGCUCACUAAGGCGAUACUGACGCUGAGGCACGAAAGCGUGGGGAUCGAACAGGAUUAGAAACCCGGGUAGUCC
rnacentral:rRNA from 1 species